CCUACGGGGGGCUGCAGUGGGGAAUAUUGGACAAUGGGCGAAAGCCUGAUCCAGCCAUGCCGCGUGUGUGAAGAAGGCCUUCGGGUUGUAAAGCACUUUCAGUGGGGAAGAAAGCCUUGGGGCUAAUACCCUCGAGGAAGGACAUCACCCACAGAAGAAGCACCGGCUAACUCCGUGCCAGCAGCCGCGGUAAUACGGAGGGUGCGAGCGUUAAUCGGAAUUACUGGGCGUAAAGCGCGCGUAGGCGGUCUGAUAAGCCGGUUGUGAAAGCCCCGGGCUCAACCUGGGAACGGCAUCCGGAACUGUCAGGCUAGAGUGCAGGAGAGGAAGGUAGAAUUCCCGGUGUAGCGGUGAAAUGCGUAGAGAUCGGGAGGAAUACCAGUGGCGAAGGCGGCCUUCUGGACUGACACUGACGCUGAGGUGCGAAAGCGUGGGUAGCAAACAGGAUUAGAUACCCCGUGUC
rnacentral:rRNA from 1 species